rnacentral:lncRNA from 1 species
GCCUGAAUAUGCCUGGGGUGGGCAUGUGAGCAGCUGAACGCAGUUGAAAUCGCCUCUUCAGACAAGCACAAUUUGCACCUGAAGAGGAAGAGAUAGUUAAAGCCACAGCAGUGGUGCAUGUAACAGGCUCCUUAAACUCUCUGUGCUGAGAUCAACCAGUCACAGAGCAAAUUCAAGAGAAAAGAAACAUUUGCUGUUUCUCUACUCAUCUGCUGAUAUAAAGGCUGCAGAAUCUGGCUUUAACAUUGCAGCAAAGCCAAGGAGAGACUCACCUCUGCAAAAUCAGAAGGUCCAGCUGAUUUCACCAGGCUCCAUAUGGGCAGCCACUGAGCCACAUACCUUCAGUCCUGGAAGGAUUCUCUCCCAGACAUGCAGAAAAAGCAGAGUAAACGAAGAAGCAAGAGAUCAUCGUUUCUGGAGGAGAAACAGCAUGAAACCAAUCUGGCUGCAACAUGAAGAUCUCUGGGGACCUGUGCUUUCAUUGCUUUGCAGACAUUGACACUGGCACAAUUUCGCAAAACAUCUAAGUGUUUCCCAGUGCUUCUGCAGCUGCAGUCAGCCUUCUGCCAUUACAGAGGGGUGGAGGGUCUGACUGCUGUGCUUCCAGGCUUGCAGGAAAGGAUUUCUGAAUAAAUAACACCAUGGACAGAAAUACA